UUCUGCAGCGUGAGCCCUUCGACCCUCAUUCCUCACACACACACAAAUGUGUUUCUAACCAUCCGCCUCGUGUUUGUCACUCUCACCUCACUUUGAUGUAGUUUAUGAAAAUUGACUUUACAAGGGUCGUGUUUUAUGUUCCUCCUUUAUUGGCUAGGCUAGCAUCCGCCGCCGUGCCAUUGUGUGUGUGUGUGUGUGUCAGAUAGACAAGUAUCUGAUUAAUAGCUCUCUUGGUCUCUGGCUGGCUCAUUUUUCAGCACUGUUGUUUAAGACCUGUGGCUCUUCUCUUGGUGAGAUGUAGAUGCGUUUCCCCUUGCUGUUUAUUGAUAUUCUGUUUCCCUAAAUACGGACCUAUUUGUCUCCGCUGUCUCCCCUCCGCCCCAGCCGUACACCGGACCUGAGAGGAUGGGCGGAUCAGGGAGGAGGCGGAGAGGGGCAGAAAAGGAAAACUAUCCGUGAUUGAUAGGCAAUCUCAAUGCCUGUGGCGUCUGGAGAAUCACCAAGGUGACGAAGCAGAUGAAGAGCACAGAGCUUGUGGUGGCCCUGUCUCCAGUGCACAUCUGAACUGCUAAUUCUGUUCUUCACCGUUAUAGUAUUUCGGGGACAUCUUGCAUUCUGUAACCCAAAAGAAAAACCCCAGCCGCUUAACAGAAAGCACAGAAUGAGAAUGAGGCAGCAGAGGAGAAGCUUAAUGUGUCCCCGCGGGUCACAGGUGACUGAUUCUGCCAAGCAGGACAUGCUCUUGGAUUCACCUCAGAUCGCUCUUUCCACUUGCUUCAUGGAUAAGUUUGAAGUUUGA
rnacentral:lncRNA from 1 species